rnacentral:rRNA from 1 species
CCCUGGCUCAGAACGAACGCUGGCGGCAGGCUUAACACAUGCAAGUCGAACGCCCCGCAAGGGGAGUGGCAGACGGGUGAGUAACGCGUGGGAAUCUACCCUUUUCUACGGAACAACUGAGGGAAACUUCAGCUAAUACCGUAUACGGCCGAGAGGCGAAAGAUUUAUCGGAGAAGGAUGAGCCCGCGUUGGAUUAGCUAGUUGGUGGGGUAAAGGCCCACCAAGGCGACGAUCCAUAGCUGGUCUGAGAGGAUGAUCAGCCACACUGGGACUGAGACACGGCCCAGACUCCUACGGGAGGCAGCAGUGGGGAAUAUUGGACAAUGGGCGCAAGCCUGAUCCAGCCAUGCCGCGUGAGUGAUGAAGGCCCUAGGGUUGUAAAGCUCUUUCACCCGGUGAAGAUAAUGACGGUAACCGGAGAAGAAGCCCCGGCUAACU